UCCUCUCCAGCUAAAUCUACCCUGUCACCUCCCUUCCACCACAGGAUCUAUUAUUAUACCCAAGGCAGGGAACUGUGGACCUCUAGAUCAGCCUCCCCCAAAGCUGAUACCCUCCAGAUCUUUCGGACUAGGACUUCCAAUAUAAAGCACCACAUAAGUGCCAAAUAAUUGAAUAAUGGGCUUAUCUCCUGCUGCCAAAGGUAUUUGGGAUAAAGGGCUUCUUCAUACUGAGUCAUCCAUUCUUGUCUUGCUACCAAGGACACUCAAGGUGUCAAGCAUUCUCCAGUCCCAUUAGUUGGUUCUUUUAAAUUGUGGAUACUUAGGGUAAAGGCCUGGUUUUUUAAAAUGUAAAACAUAAGCUGUAGGUCGUCUUCCACCAAAGAGGUGACUUCACUUCUAGACUCAAUGAUCUCAUAGCUUUUAAAUCUUUGUAAAGGGGUUGCUAUUCAAUUGUCUCAUAUGGUUUUACUUGCCAAAUUGCAUGAGGAUUUUUAUUUUUUGCUAACUAGGGAUGAGCUGUCUUCAGCCUUACAUGACACCCCGUCAUUCCUGU